GCUAAUAUCAGGUCACUACAAAUCUCAACAAUGUUGUUAUUGUUGUUGUCUUAAUAUCUAACAGAAUCAGUAAAUUCUGCAUGAAUUAUAUUUCACCAGAAAUGACGUGAAAGCAAAUGGCAUAAGAGUGGAAAUCCCCACUACUCCCAGAUAAAGAGCAGCCAGACUCAUUUCCUAUAAACUAUCAGCGAGUAAUUCAUGCUUCGCUGAACUGAACCAAGAAGCCUACAUCGAUUUGCACACGAUUGGCCAACAGUUUCGAUAAAUCACACCAAAUGCAGUUGGCGCUGCCCCUGCCCAGCAGCCUGGCACUGGACUUGAUCGGUAAUGACAGCCUGCAGGACUGGGAAGUGAUUGGUGGAGGGGGAUUUGGACAGAUCCACAAGGCCAGGCAUAUAAAGUGGAGGUUUGAUGUGGCCAUCAAGUUGUUGCAUCAUGAUGAUGGGUAAAUAUGACCAUCCCACAGCCGUGCAUAAGACAAUACUUGAGAGUAUGCAUGUUAAUUCUGUUUGCUCCGGUGCAUUCACAAUCUCUAAAUAAGGGCCCUGGCCAAUAUGAAAGGAAAACAAAUUGAACUGCAUAACAUUUUUUUAUUUUUUUAUAUAUACUACCGUUCAAAAGUUUGGGGUCACUUAGAAAUGUCUUUGUUUUUGAAAGAACAGCACAUUUUUUUUGUCCAUUAAAAAACAUCAAA